CCUGUAAUAUCCUUAAUGCGUCCGACUUAUCUGGUUCCGUGCAGCUGCAUGAAGAAGAACAAAUGGAGCUGCUGACUCACUGAGAGGAGAACACUGCUCGUCUGCCGGGGUGGCGAGCUGCUACCUGCCCGUCUGACCCACGUGACCGUGUGCAGGCUGCAAACACAAAACAUGAACUGUCUGAUUCCAGGUUAACUUUGAGCCUGCUGCUGCUGCCACACACUGUCAUUAAAACCUAUUAUUAUUAUUCAUCAGACUGAAGUCAAGUCUGCAGCACACGGGAACGAGACUCCAGGUGUGCAUGCCCUCUCGGCCCGGAAACACAGAAGAAGGUCCGGGUGCUUCAGCCUCUCAGGUGAGCUGACAGGCUGCAUAUGGACACACUGUGCUCUGUGCUGCUGCAGCUCUAUAUAAGGCUGUCAAAGUCUCUGUGGUGGAAAGACAUGGAGGGCUGCACAGGUAAAUCUCCCGGAGCUGACAGUCCUGUUUGGUUUGGAGCGGAGCUUCGAGAAGCAGCUCAAAGAUGACCUGAAAAAUAAUCUGCAGGGAUUUAACCCACAUUCACACAUGAUCAGUGUCCACUCCCACUGACAGAUCCCCCUGUUAGCAACAAGACUCCAGCUGAGGAGGAGACGUCCUCACCUGCAGCGUCCU